GAAGAGAUAGGGGGUGUUGGAUCCCGGGAAACUGGCAGCUGGGCAGCGUAAGCACGGGUGUGUGAACCCCACACCGACGUAUCACCCCCCUUGGAC
rfam:Groundnut rosette virus complete genome, strain MC1